UACGUAGGGUGCAAGCGUUGUCCGGAAUUAUUGGGCGUAAAGAGCUCGUAGGCGGUUCGUCGCGUCGGCUGUGAAAACCCGAGGCUCAACCUCGGGCCUGCAGUCGAUACGGGCGGACUGGAGUUCGGCAGGGGAGACUGGAAUUCCUGGUGUAGCGGUGAAAUGCGCAGAUAUCAGGAGGAACACCGGUGGCGAAGGCGGGUCUCUGGGCCGUAACUGACGCUGAGGAGCGAAAGCAUGGGGGAGCGAACAGG
rnacentral:rRNA from 1 species